CAGAGGAUGGCCAGAAUGUCCAAGGUCCUGGAACCUAACCUUGCCUAUGAAACUGGGGCAGGUGGGGUCUGCAAGUGGCUGGAUGUGAGGAAGGUAUCAACUUUUGGCUGGUUUGAAAGCUUGGAGGAAGACACACAGCGGUAAUAUAUUAUGCAGGACUAUCCAAUAGUCAAGGUAUGGAACCGUCAACAUAUGAAUGGAUGAAGAGAAUGUGGUCUACGUGCACAACAGAAUCAUAUUCAGCCAUAAAGAAGAACAAAAUAGUGCCAUUUACAGGAAAAUGGGGGAGAACUGGAGAGUGUCCUACUAAGUGAAAUAACUUGAGCCUGGCAGGAUCAGACAGGUCCUGGCUAUGGGAAACACCAAAGUUCUCCUCCUCAGCUCUGAUGCUCUGGCCAGUUCCGGCUCAACUUAUUUCAGAGGAAAUCCAGACAACUGUGACCAGGCAUGGUCAUAAAGGCUUCAGGCAACCACAAGGCAUACAGUGACCUUGCUUUGACUUUAGGGCACCACAGAGCAUGAGAAGAAUGGUUUGGAUAUAGAACUUUCAGCUACCAUGUCUGCCUGCAUGCCACCAUGCUCCCUGCCAUGAAGAUAAUGGGAGAAACCUCUGAAACUGAAAAUCAAAGCAACUAUAUCAACUGCAUGAGACCCUCAGGAGAUCGGACCUAUAAAUGUACCUUCCCAAGAGUUGGAUGGUCCUAAUCCCCUUACCUGAAAUUCCAGGCACAAGCUCCCUCCAGCCAUCUCUCCUGGAGUGUUAGGGUAUACAGGAGAUGGAAGACACCAAUGAUGCAGUUUUCCUGAGUCAUCACCCAUUCUGGAGUGUGACUCUUAGGUGAAGUCAUUAACUUCAAUGCCCAUGUUCCUGGAUGGAACGCCUGACUCACAUUCCUCCACAUCACUCCAAUAAACUCACUGUUUCACAUGCUGGACCUGGAUGGAAUCAUUUACAUAGCAUUUUUGUUGUUGUUGUUCUCUCUGGGGUGAAACAGACUCCCCAGGAAAUGUUAAGCAACAGAUGUGGUCAGGCCUCUCAUGACCAGGGCACUUGAGAAAGACGGAUGCUUCGGGCUCUGGAGGGACUGCUUGUCACCAGAACACAUGGGGGAGGGUUUACAGAGGAUCAGCUCUGUGACACUAAUGAAGGCCAAGUG
rnacentral:lncRNA from 1 species